rnacentral:rRNA from 1 species
CCUACGGGGGGCAGCAGUGGGGAAUAUUGGGCAAUGGACGCAAGUCUGACCCAGCAACGCCGCGUGAAGGAAGAAGGCUUUCGGGUUGUAAACUUCUUUUAAGGGGGAAGAGCAGAAGACGGUACCCCUUGAAUAAGCCACGGCUAAAUACGUGCCAGCAGCCGCGGUAAUACGUAUGGAGCAAGCGUUAUCCGGAUUUACUGGGCGUAAAGGGAGCGUAGGCGGCCUGCCAAGUCUGAUGUGAACUACCGGGGCUCAACCCCGGGGCUGCAUUGGAAACUGGCAGGCUGGAGUGCCGGAGAGGCAGGCGGAAUUCCUAGUGUAGCGGUGAAAUGCGUAGAUAUUAGGAGGAACACCAGUGGCGAAGGCGGCCUGCUGGACGGUGACUGACGCUGAGGCUCGAAAGCGUGGGGAGCAAACAGGAUUAGAUACCCCUGUAGUC